GAAAAACAGUCCGAUUUGCAAAAACCCCUCGAAAGCCUAAAACCCUUCAGCCCCAAAACACAAAAACCCUCCAAAAUCUUCCACCAAAAAUGUCCGCCGCCAGGUCCGUCCUCCGUUCCGCUGCCACCCGAGCGACCGCGGCCGCGAGACUCGCCGGUGCAACCAAGUCCAUGCCACGACCCGCUUGCUCGCCCUUUCGGAUCUCUAAGCAAAACUCGUUUCCUGCUCGCAUUUUCAGGUCACCGGUGGAGAUGAGCUGCUGUGUGGAAACGCUGCUACCUUAUCACACAGCCACUGCUUCGGCUUUGUUGACUUCCAUGCUUUCUGUUUCUCGCCGGAGAUCCAAUUGGACCGCUGAAGAUUGCAAUGAUGAUGUAUGAUGAAUAUCGGAGAGUUCGGGCAGAGGUUUUGAUAAAUGCACUCUUAAGACAAGAUGGAUGAUUGUGGUUGGGAUGCGGAGCUAUUCAUCUCCGUGAAAAAUUCCGAUCAACCUCGUAGGACUUGAUGCAUUGUAUUCUUCUUGGACGAAUCUGAAAUAUCUGAUGUUAUUACCCAACAUUUGUUCUGUGAGCAUCUGGAAGUAGGUAUCAGAUAAAAACAUACAUUCAAUUUUCCUGUUCUUAUAAGUUCAAAAAAUAUAUCAUCACCAGGUUUAAUGUCUCUUCUUCCUUGAAUAAUUAAAGCUCUUUAAUAUCA